ensembl:lncRNA
AUGAAGAAGAGGCCUAUAGUUGCAGAGAAGGCUGACUUAAGAAGCAGGAGGAAAAAUUAUGGCUUGGUAAGAAAGAGGAAGUUUCGCGCGGAUCGGUUUUGCAUAAGUGCUAUAAACGCGGUUCGGUGGAGCUCGGACAGCGGCAGCACAGCGACCGCGGGGUCCUCCGUCACCGAGAGCAUCGGGUUUACUAGGGGACGUACGCGCAUGGAAGCACGCUAUCCCGAAAGUAUUUUAUUAAGCACAGAUCGACUCACCGCUAGAGCAGGAAAAUCGGCUGUUAUAGGAAAAGAAAGGACCAAAUCCUCGUUUUCUCACUUUAAUUUCUGCUAUCCGCGCGGCAGGGAGGCAUGGCGGCUGCGCACCUCCCGGCCGGUCCCGGCGCGGCCGCGGCCCCUCGCAGCCCAGCGCCGCCCGCGCCCGCGGGAGAGGCGCCGCCCGGCUCGGCACCGCGCGUCCCUUCCGCCCGCCGCCCGGUACCGCGGUGGAACAGCGCUGCCGCUCCUUCGCUGCCUCCCGCGCGGGAAAGCUGAAGAGAAGCGGUUUUCAUUGAGUAAGCUGUCUGCAGAAGCUGUGUCUAUACAGAGGCUCUGUAUUUUAUUCACUGGAGAGAACCAGCAGAAGACCUCAGGCCAUUUUCUAGCUGAUUUAAUUAAAAGAAGCUUCAAAGUUCUAAUGACCAUAGCAAGGAUAGAAAUCUCAGAAGAUUGCUUCUCUUAGCACACUCAGUUAAUGGCUGGACAAGGAACUGUGGGAUAAGAUGCCUCUUACAGAAGCAGAGCUGAUACAAAGAGCGGGUAAGGGUGCUAUGCGCCUACUGCCAAACCACAACUUUUCCUUGUGCUUAUGAAUGUACCUGUUUUUAUGUACAAACUGUAGGUCCUAGUGAUAUUCAGACAAGAGUAUUAAGACCUUCUGUGCAUUAAAGAGAAACACAAAUAACUAACUAACUGGGAGAGAGACAGUGUUUAGACAGUGUUUGAAGUGGCUUGCCAAGCAAAAGUAAUCGUGUGAGGAGAAGUGGCAACAGCAGGACAUAGUAGGAAGGGGAGCCCAGGGAAUGGCUUAUGACAGUCAUUCUCAGCAAUGAGCAUUACGAACAAAACGUAAAUGGCUUGGGGCCUUGGCGGAGGGGCGGAGGUUUUGUGAUGAGUCAGUUCCAGAUUGCUGCAUCUUAGCACUGUUGGAGAGCAAAGGGAUGUGCUCUGUAUCGCAGCUCUGUGACACAAAGCAUAGGGAAAGUGCUGAAAAGAAAGUCCGAGCAUCUUUUUAGGGUGUAGCUGAAAUGCUGAGUCAUGGCUUGAAGCAGUGAUUGAGCACCUGGUAGGAAGGCAGGGCCGACCCAGCAGAGCUCAGGUGCAUGCAAUGUGCCUGAGUGACUGGAAGGGGUGGAGCCAGGAUGCACCCCUUCCCAGACCUCAUUUAAGGGUUGGUGGGGGAGGUGAGGAGAUCUCAUCUGGAGAUCCCUGUGCAUCUGAGGACCUUGCAGACCUUCCAAAGGUAGGCAGCUUCUUUAUCUUAAUUCUGCGUCUGGUGCUGUUAUGUCUGAGUGGACUCUCAGGCUUGCUGUGACCUGGGACCUCGCUGCUCUGCUGUCUUGCUGUGCUUUCCAUUGUGUUACAUAGAGAUUAAAGGGCUGCUGAUUUCCAGAUACUAAUUUUGUAAGUGAGAAUCAGUCAGUGUGUCUUACUAUCACAGGAGUGGGCCAGAUUGAGGGUGC